GGAAUUUUGGACAAUGGGGGCAACCCUGAUCCAGCAAUGCCGCGUGUGCGAAGAAGGCCUUCGGGUUGUAAAGCACUUUUGUCAGGGAAGAAAUCUUUUGGGCUAAUACCCCGGAAGGAUGACGGUACCUGAAGAAUAAGCACCGGCUAACUACGUGCCAGCAGCCGCGGUAAUACGUAGGGUGCAAGCGUUAAUCGGAAUUACUGGGCGUAAAGCGUGCGCAGGCGGUUCGCUAAGACAGUCGUGAAAUCCCCGGGCUUAACCUGGGAACUGCGAUUGUGACUGGCGAGCUAGAGUACGGCAGAGGGGGGUGGAAUUCCUGGUGUAGCAGUGAAAUGCGUAGAGAUCAGGAGGAACACCGAUGGCGAAGGCAGCCCCCUGGGCUAGUACUGACGCUCAUGCACGAAAGCGUGGGGAGCAAACAGGAUUAGAUACCCUGGUAGUCCACGCCCUAAACGAUGUCAAUUAGUUGUUGGUUCUUCAUUGAAUCAGUAACGAAGCUAACGCGUGAAAUUGACCGCCUGGGGAGUACGGUCGCAAGAUUAAAACUCAAAGGAAUUGACGG
rnacentral:rRNA from 1 species